rnacentral:rRNA from 1 species
AUUGAACGCUGGCGGCAGGCCUAACACAUGCAAGUCGAGCGAGCGGCGGACGGGUGAGUACUGUGUGGGAAACUGCCUGAUGGAGGGGGGUAACUACUGGAAGCGGUAGCUAAUACCGCAUACCCUCAGAUGUGCCCCGAUGGGAUUAGAUAGUAGGUGGGGUAACGGCUCACCUAGGCGACGAUCCCUAGCUGGUCUGAGAGGAUGACCAGCCACACUGGAACUGAGAACCGGUCCAGACUCCUACGGGAGGCAGCAGUGGGGAAUAUUGGACAAUGGGCGAAAGCCUGAUGCAGCCAUGCGGCGGGGGUGAAGAAGGCCUUCGGGUUGUAAAGCACUUUCAGCGGGGAGGCGUUACCCGCAGAAGAAGCACCGGCUAACUCCGUGCCAGCAGCCGCGGUAAUAC